rnacentral:rRNA from 2 species
UACAGAGGUCCCAAGCGUUGUUCGGAUUCACUGGGCGUAAAGGGUGCGUAGGCGGUUUGACAAGUCUGAUGUGAAAUCCCGCAGCUUAACUGCGGAACUGCAUUGGAAACUGUUUGACUAGAGGAAUGGAGGGGAGACUGGAAUACUUGGUGUAGCAGUGAAAUGCGUAGAUAUCAAGUGGAACACCAGUGGCGAAGGCGAGUCUCUGGACAUUUCCUGACGCUGAGGCACGAAAGCCAGGGGAGCAAACGGG